rnacentral:rRNA from 1 species
GAAUUCGCCCUUAGAGUUUGAUCCUGGCUCAGGAUGAACGCUGGCGGCGUGCUUAACACAUGCAAGUCGAACGGGAAAUACUUCAUUGAGACUUCGGUGGAUUUGAUCUAUUUCUAGUGGCGGACGGGUGAGUAACGCGUGGGUAACCUGCCUUAUACAGGGGGAUAACAGUCAGAAAUGACUGCUAAUACCGCAUAAGCGCACGGGACCGCAUGGUCCAGUGUGAAAAACUUCGGUGGUGUGAGAUGGACCCGCGUUUGAUUAGCUAGUUGGUGGGGUAACGGCCUACCAAGGCGACGAUCAAUAGCCGACCUGAGAGGGUGACCGGCCACAUUGGGACUGAGACACGGCCCAAACUCCUACGGGAGGCAGCAGUGGGGAAUAUUGCACAAUGGGGGAAACCCUGAUGCAGCGACGCCGCGUGGAGGAAGAAGGUCUUCGGAUUGUAAACUCCUGUUGUUGAGGAAGAUAAUGACGGUACUCAACAAGGAAGUGACGGCUAACUACGUGCCAGCAGCCGCGGUAAAACGUAGGUCACAAGCGUUGUCCGGAAUUACUGGGUGUAAAGGGAGCGCAGGCGGGCGAUCAAGUUGGAAGUGAAAUCCAUGGGCUCAACCCAUGAACUGCUUUCAAAACUGGUCGUCUUGAGUAGUGCAGAGGUAGGCGGAAUUCCCGGUGUAGCGGUGGAAUGCGUAGAUAUCGGGAGGAACACCAGUGGCGAAGGCGGCCUACUGGGCACCAACUGACGCUGAGGCUCGAAAGUGUGGGUAGCAAACAGGAUUAGAUACCCUGGUAGUCCACACCGUAAACGAUGAUUACUAGGUGUUGGGAGAUUGACCCUCUCAGUGCCGCAGUUAACACAAUAAGUAAUCCACCUGGGGAGUACGACCGCAAGGUUGAAACUCAAAGGAAUUGACGGGGGCCCGCACAAGCAGUGGAGUAUGUGGUUUAAUUCGACGCAACGCGAAGAACCUUACCAAGUCUUGACAUCCCUUGGCGAUGCUGGAAACAGUAUUUCUCUUCGGAGCAAGGAGACAGGUGGUGCAUGGUUGUCGUCAGCCCGUGUCGUGAGAUGUUGGGUUAAGUCCCGCAACGAGCGCAACCCUUAUGGUCAGUUACUACGCAAGAGGACUCUGGCCAGACUGCCGUUGACAAAACGGAGGAAGGUGGGGAUGACGUCAAAUCAUCAUGCCCUUUAUGACUUGGGCUACACACGUACUACAAUGGCGUUAAACAAAGAGAAGCAAGACCGCGAGGUGGAGCAAAACUCAGAAACAACGUCCCAGUUCGGACUGCAGGCUGCAACUCGCCUGCACGAAGUCGGAAUUGCUAGUAAUCGUGGAUCAGCAUGCCACGGUGAAUACGUUCCCGGGCCUUGCACUCACCGCCCGUCA